GGGAUUGCCCUAGUAACGGCGAGUGAAGCGGCAACAGCUCAAAUUUGAAAUCUGGCGCAAGCCCGAGUUGUAAUUUGUAGAGGAUGCUUCUGGGUAGCGACCGAUCUAAGUUCCUUGGAACAGGACGUCAUAGAGGGUGAGAAUCCCGUAUGUGACCGGCCCGCACCCUUUACGUAGCUCCUUCGACGAGUCGAGUUGUUUGGGAAUGCAGCUCUAAAUGGGAGGUAAAUUUCUUCUAAAGCUAAAUACCGGCCAGAGACCGAUAGCGCACAAGUAGAGUGAUCGAAAGAUGAAAAGUACUUUGGAAAGAGAGUUAAAAAGCACGUGAAAUUGUUGAAAGGGAAGCGCCUGCAACCAGACUUCGCGGCAGUGUUCCGCCGGUCUUCUGACCGGUUCAUUCGCUGUCGCGAGGCCAUCAUCGUCUGGGCCCGCCGGAUAAGACCUUGGGAAUGUGGCUCACCUUCGGGGGAGUGUUAUAGCCCAGGGUGAUGCGGCGCGGCUCGGGCGAGGUCCGCGCUUCGGCAAGGAUGAUGGCGUAAUGGUUGUCGGCGGCCCGUCUUGAAACACGGACCAAGGAGUCUAACAUCUAUGCGAGUGUUCGGGUGUCAAACCCCUACGCGUAAUGAAAGUGAACGGAGGUGGGAACCGCAAGGUGCACCAUCGACCGAUCCUGAUGUCCUCGGAUGGAUUUGAGUAAGAGCAUAGCUGUUGGGACCCGAAAGAUGGUGAACUAUGCCUGAAUAGGGUGAAGCCAGAGGAAACUCUGGUGGAGGCUCGCAGCGGUUCUGACGUGCAAAUCGAUCGUCAAAUUUGGGUAUAGGGGCG
rnacentral:rRNA from 1 species